CCCCCACGCAGGGCCCAGGGAAUUCGACCCCUUGCCUUGACUCCUUGACUCGCAGGGCCAGCCAGCCAGACCUCCCAACAGCCUAUACCCUUCUGUCCAAAAGACCCUAAUGAAAGUUUCCCUGUGACAAGCCUAAACAAUGAUCCAAGAGGAAUGAAAAACCAAACUAAUGAGAAAAUGAUGUAGAAGGCCAGCUUUCUGCUCUCCCCACAAGGAUUUUAAUUACAGAGAAAUCAACAGCUGUGCCAGGGGUAACACGGGAGUGCUGGCCAUGCAAAAUAACACCUUGGAGUGGAAUGAAUUUGAAGUAAAUGGGCUGGAAAUAUUGGCUUUCCCAGCAAUCAACAGCAACACAUGAGGGGAAACACGGAGUCUUUAAUUCGGUGAAGUGUACUGAUCGCAGACUUCUCCAUUGCCCUGAUUCUGAGAUCACUCGGUGGAUAACGCAAGGGAGCCCAUUAUCCUGUACAUGGUGGAAAAAAGCAAAAAUUCAGCAACUUCUCUUUCAGAUCUUGGACUCUGAGAAAGAACAGCACGCUUUCUUCAGCAGGAAGAAGAUACUCAAUACUGCCAUUUAAAAACAGCCAGCCAGAAGAGUCUGUUAUUUCUUUAAAAACUGUUCUGAAAGUGACAUUUUACCAUAAUAAAA